rnacentral:rRNA from 1 species
CAAAACCCUUUUUCCUUUAGUUUAACCAGCCAACGUAAUGGUGGGGCCAAUUUAAGGAAGGACUGCCGGUGACAAAACCGGAGGAAAGGUGGGGGAUGAACGUCAAGUCAUUCAUGGGCCCUUACGGCCCUGGGCUACACACGUGCUACAAUGGUUCGGUACAGAGGGUUGCCAAGCCGCGAGGUGGAGCUAAUCCCAUAAAACCGAUCGUAGUCCGGAUCGCAGUCUGCAACUCGACUGCGUGAAGUCGGAAUCGCUAGUAAUCGCGAAUCAGAAUGUCGCGGUGAAUACGUUCCCGGGCCUUGUACACACCGCCCGUUAAUCACUAGUCAUAG